rnacentral:rRNA from 1 species
GGCUUGUUGAUUAUGAUUUCAAGUCUGGCCUGCCCAAUGAGUAAUUAAAUGGCCGCAGUAUAUUGACUGUGCAAAGGUAGCAUAAUCAUUAGUUUUUUAAUUGAAAGCUUGUAUGAAAGGCUUGAUGAAAAGAUUUCUGUCUCUAGGAGAAUUUAUUAGAAUUUUAUUUUUGAGUGAGAAAGCUUAAAUAUACUUGGAAGACGAGAAGACCCUAUAGAGUUUUAUAUUUGAGUGUUAUAGUAGAAUAUUGGAGUUUGAAUUAAACUAUUUUUUUGAAUAUUUUGUUGGGGUGAUUAAAAAAUUUGCUAAACUUUUUUUUUAUGUGAACACUAAUUUGUGAAUGUAUGAUCCUAAUAUUUAGAUUAUAAGAAAAAAUUACCUUAGGGAUAACAGCGUAAUUUUUUCUAGAGUUCUUAUCGAAAAGAAAGAUUGCGACCUCGAUGUUGGAUUAAAAUUUAUUGUUGGUGAAGAGGCUAAUAAAUUAGGUCUGUUCGACCUUUAAAAUUUUACAUGAUCUGAGUUUAAACCGGUGUGAG